CUGGGCGAGCCGGCCGAGACAUGGGCGCUGGGCAAGCCGGCUGGGGUAAACUCCCCACAAACUGGCAGGGACGUAGGAGCCUGACGAUCUGGCUAAGGCAUGAACGUCUGUCGAUCUCGCUGCGCGUGGAAGCACGAAGAUCCGGUGGAGCAUGACGUGGGAUGGGAACCUGACGAGCCAACCGAGGCAAGGAAACCUCGAGCCAGCUAGGACGUGGAAGCCCGACGAGCUGGCUUGGGCACCCUCGGUUCCAUCGGUGGCGGAAUCCAAGCCCGACGUCACCAACAAAACAACAAAACUUCUGGGCCGGCUGGGCAAACAAGACCUGACGAUCCGGCUGAGGCCCGACUUGGGAUGGGCGCCUUCCGAGCCAACCGGGGAAAGGAAACCUCUCGAGCUGGCUAGGCACCCCCGGUUCCAUCGGCAGCGACCCAGGACCAAGGUCACCACCAACUGGAACGCCAGUACUCCCCGAUGCUUCGUGUGUUGGCUGCUGCAUUCUGUAAGGAAUGACGCUGGAGAAUAGAAGCAGGUACAGGGAGUUGACAUUUAAUUAGGAAUGGACAUGCAACAGGACAGGAACAGCGUCAGAACUGGGAAACACAAAGACAGACGACAAACAAUGCAGCAGUGGGGAACAGAGCUGGGGAACUGACAAAUAUAGGGGAGGUAAUAAACAGGAGAUUGAGUGAGUCCAGAAUUCUAAUGAUGACCCGCCUCAGUGUAGCCCUCCAUACUACAGUGCCAGUAUCUAUUCCACGCUGAGGGAGUGGGGAUACUGACUGUCAACUGUGAGAUGUGGACACGCCCCGACAGCCCCUCACCUACAGCAUUGUGGGAGGGAACACUAACCGCAGAUUUACCAUGGAUGGAGCACAGCUGGUGUCCAGUGCCCAGUUCUCCUAUGGCACCCCAUGGUUUAUGAGCUGCUGGUCAGGGUUCAGGACCAUGGCAUGUCUGUAUGCUCCACUACUGCUACUGUCAUUGCCAAUGUGGUUCCCUGGACCACAACUCGACCAACAUCCAUCACCACCACCACGAUCAAGUGAUGAUGGGAAAGGUGACCUCGGACAAGCAGAGGAGGCAGAGGAGAAGCCCAACAUACCCUCAGAGAAGGACCCCGAGGAGGAGGAAGCUCUAGAGGAGAACCCCUUUACCAUGUUUAGUCUGACAACGUCUAACUGUCUACCCGUCAGUGAUAACACUUCACCAACCAUGAAAAAUACUUUUGCAGGUCUCACCUUCAGGAAAGAGGUCUUCUGACACAAAAUAAGAAUGUGUCAUAGCACACACAAUCUGACGUUUGAUUGAUUGUAAAUGUGAGGCCACGGUUCCAAGCAUCUCACUGCCUGGCAGUAAUGAUGUCACUUUAUUGAUUUACUGACGGAUUUACUCAUCGAAAUGGAAAGAUAAUUCCUUUUAAGUCUAUGGAUUUACUGGUUAUGACUGAAUGACUAAGACAAUUAUUUUUGUCAUUCACGCUCAGCGGUUCAACAGCAGAGCUCACGAUCCAGGUGAUGAUUUGUCUUUAGAUUCCGUUAGCCUGGUCCCAGAUCUGUUUGUGCUGUCAUGCCAACUCCUAUGGUCAUUGUCGUGUGACAGCAUAAAAAGAUCUGGGACCAGGCUAAUAGCUACACCCUUUCUCUUUAUAUGUCUCUGAGGUACCAUCUCUAACAUUGUCUUUCUUUCCUGUCUGUUUGCUUGUUAUUUGCUCAGACACUGGGAGAGCAGACCUCUUUAUCUCAAUCUCUUCGUUCAAAGACUCAAUCAUGGACACUCUUACUGACAGUUGUGGCUGCUUCGCAUGAUGUAUUAUUGUCUCUACCUUCUUGCCUUUGUGCUGUUGUCUGUGCCCAAUAAUGUGUGUACCAUGUUUUGUGUUGCUACCAUGUUUUUGUCAUGAUGUGUUGCUACCAUGGUGUGUUUUCAUGUGUUGCUGCCAUGCAAUGUUGUUGGCUUAAGGUCUCUCUUUAUGUAGUGUUGUGGUGUCUCUCUUGUCGUGAUGUGUG
rnacentral:lncRNA from 1 species